rnacentral:SRP_RNA from 10 species
GACAGGUACAUGGCACGUGCCUGUAGUCAGCUACUCAGGAGGCUGAGGCAGGAAGAUCACUGGAGCCUAGGAGUCCUGGGCUGUAGUGCCCUAUGCUGUUAGGAUGUCCACACUAAGUUCACAUUAAUAUGGUGGCCUCCCGGGAGUGAGGGACCACCAGGCUGCCUAAGGAGGGGUUAACCUACCCAGGUCAGAAACAGAACAAGUGAAAACUCCCGUAUUGAUCAGUAGUGGGAUCGUGCCUGUGAAUCACCAGUGCACUCCAGCCUGGGCAACAUAGCAAGACCCCAUUU